AACGAACGCUGGCGGCAUGCCUAACACAUGCAAGUCGAACGAGACCUUCGGGUCUAGUGGCUCACGGGUGCGUAACGCGUGGGAACCUGCCCUUAGGUUCGGGAUACCUCCCCGAAAGGGGUGCUAAUACCGGAUAAUGUCUUCGGACCACAGAUUUAUCGCCUUUGGAUGGGCCCGCGUUGGAUUAGCUAGUUGGUAGCGUAAAAGCCUACCAAGGCGACGAUCCAUAGCUGGUCUGAGAGGAUGAUCAGCCACACUGGGAGUGAGCCACGGCCCGGAAUCUUACGGGAGGCAGGAGUGGGGAAUAUUGGAAAAUCGGCGAAAGGCUGAUGCAGCAAUGCCGCGUGAGUGCUGAAGGCCUUAGGGUUGUAAAGCUCUUUUACCCGGGAUGAUAAUGACAGUACCGGGAGAAUAAGCGCCGGCUAACUUCGUG
rnacentral:rRNA from 1 species